rnacentral:rRNA from 1 species
UACGUAGGGGCCGAGCGUUGUCCGGAGUUAUUGGGCGUAAAGCGCGCGCAGGCGGCCUCGCGCGCCCGACGUGAAAGCCCCCGGCUUAACCGGGGAGGGUCGUUGGGGACGGCGGGGCUUGAGGGCGGGAGAGGUCGGUGGAAUUCCCGGUGUAGUGGUGAAAUGCGCAGAGAUCGGGAAGAACACCCGUAGCGAAGGCGGCACUCUGGGCCGGUACUGACGCUGAGGAGCGAAAGCGUGGGGAGCAAACAGG